rnacentral:rRNA from 1 species
GUCCCCGGCCAUGCCACCCUGAAAGCACCCCAGCUCAUCUGAUCAUGGCAGCUAAGCAGGGUCGGGUCUGCUUAGUACUCAGAUGGGAAAAGUGAAAAACACUGUCAAGUUUCUGAAAAGUGUUGACU